rnacentral:rRNA from 1 species
UACGGGGGGAGCAAGCGUUGUUCGGAUUUACUGGGCGUAAAGGGCUCGUAGGUGGCCAACUAAGUCAGACGUGAAAUCCCUCGGCUUAACCGGGGAACUGCGUCUGAUACUGGAUGGCUUGAGUUCGGGAGAGGGAUGCGGAAUUCCAGGUGUAGCGGUGAAAUGCGUAGAUAUCUGGAGGAACACCGGUGGCGAAGGCGGCAUCCUGGACCGGUAUUGACGCUGAGGCGCGAAAGCCAGGGGAGCAAACGGG